rnacentral:rRNA from 1 species
GACGAACGCUGGCGGCGUGCCUAAUACAUGCAAGUCGAGCGGACGAUUCAAAAGCUUGCUUUUGAAUCGUUAGCGGCGGACGGGUGAGUAACACGUGGGCAACCUGCCCUGUAGACGGGGAUAACACCGAGAAAUCGGUGCUAAUACCGGAUAACACGAAAUGUCGCAUGACGUUUCGUUGAAAGGCGGCGCAAGCUGUCGCUACAGGAUGGGCCCGCGGCGCAUUAGCUAGUUGGUGAGGUAACGGCUCACCAAGGCGACGAUGCGUAGCCGACCUGAGAGGGUGAUCGGCCACACUGGGACUGAGACACGGCCCAGACUCCUACGGGAGGCAGCAGUAGGGAAUCUUCCGCAAUGGACGAAAGUCUGACGGAGCAACGCCGCGUGAGCGAAGAAGGCCUUCGGGUCGUAAAGCUCUGUUGUUAGGGAAGAAACAAAGUAAACGUAGUAAACUG